GGGGGAUCUUCGGACCUGCGCUAUGGAUGAGCCUAAGUCGGAUUAGCUUGUUGGUGAGGUAAAGGCUCACCAAGGCGACGAUCCGUAGCUGGUCUGAGAGGACGAUCAGCCACACUGGGACUGAGACACGGCCCAG
rnacentral:rRNA from 1 species